rnacentral:rRNA from 1 species
AGAGGCAUCUCUUGAAUAUCAAAGGUGAGCCAGUACAGGAUGGACCCGCGUCUGAUUAGCUAGUUGGUAAGGUAACGGCUUACCAAGGCGACGAUCAGUAGCCGACCUGAGAGGGUGAUCGGCCACAUUGGAACUGAGACACGGUCCAAACUCCUACGGGAGGCAGCAGUGGGGAAUAUUGCACAAUGGGCGAAAGCCUGAUGCAGCAACGCCGCGUGAGUGAUGAAGGCCUUCGGGUCGUAAAACUCUGUCCUCAAGGAAGAUAAUGACGGUACUUGAGGAGGAAGCCCCGGCUAACUACGUGCCAGCAGCCGCGGUAAUACGUAGGGGGCUAGCGUUAUCCGGAUUUACUGGGCGUAAAGGGUGCGUAGGCGGUCUUUCAAGUCAGGAGUGAAAGGCUACGGCUCAACCGUAGUAAGCUCUUGAAACUGGGAGACUUGAGUGCAGGAGAGGAGAGUGGAAUUCCUAGUGUAGCGGUGAAAUGCGUAGAUAUUAGGAGGAACACCAGUUGCGAAGGCGGCUCUCUGGACUGUAACUGACGCUGAGGCACGAAAGCGUGGGGAGCAAACAGGAUUAGAUACCCUGGUAGUCCACGCUGUAAACGAUGAGUAC